AAUGCCGGAUGUUCCACAUGAUCGCAUGUGAUUGUGGGAAAGAUUCUAUCGGCGUGGGAUGGGGUCGCGUCCUAUCAGCUUGUUGGUGAGGUAACGGCUCACCAAGGCUUCGACGGGUAGCCGGCCUGAGAGGGCGACCGGCCACAUUGGGACUGAGAUACGGCCCAGACUCCUACGGGAGGCAGCAGUGGGGAAUAUUGCACAAUGGGCGCAAGCCUGAUGCAGCGACGCCGCGUGAGGGAUGGAGGCCUUCGGGUUGUAAACCUCUUUUGUUUGGGAGCAAGCCUUCGGGUGAGUGUACCUUUCGAAUAAGCGCCGGCUAACUACGUGCCAGCAGCCGCGGUAAUACGUAGGGCGCAAGCGUUAUCCGGAUUUAUUGGGCGUAAAGGGCUCGUAGGCGGCUCGUCGCGUCCGGUGUGAAAGUCCAUCGCUUAACGGUGGAUCUGCGCCGGGUACGGGCGGGCUGGAGUGCGGUAGGGGAGACUGGAAUUCCCGGUGUAACGGUGGAAUGUGUAG
rnacentral:rRNA from 1 species